CAGCCGCCGCGGUAAUACGAAGGGGGCUAGCGUUGCUCGGAAUGACUGGGCGUAAAGGGCGCGUAGGCGGAUUGUUUAGUUAGGCGUGAACUUCCUGGGCUUAACCUGGGGACUGCGCUUAAUACAGGCAGUCUAGAGUGAGGAAGAGGGUUGUGGAAUUCCCAGUGUAGAGGUGAAAUUCGUAGAUAUUGGGAAGAACACCGGUGGCGAAGGCGGCAACCUGGUCCUUGACUGACGCUGAGGCGCGAAAGCGUGGGGAGCAAACAGGAUUAGAUACCCCGGUAGUCCCUGUCUCUUAUAC
rnacentral:rRNA from 1 species